UAAUGCAGUGCAGUUGGAACACGUUCCUGUAACUGCAUCUGGACAAGUUCCUGUAGAAGUAUCAAUGUUGGUCUCCCCGGGCAUCAUUUUAAGACGCAGCCAGGACUACUGCAAAGUGCAGCAGCCUACAAGUUAUUUACUUCAGCAAAGAAAUGAAAGUGUUUCCACGCGAACGCGAUAAAAUACUAGGUAACAACUUUUAUUUGUCGCGCCCCAGACGUUUAAUCGCUGACGUUCACGAGCGACGUCCAUGAAGAAAGGACCCUACUUCAGUCCUCAAAAACCUGAACAGAUAACUGCUUUAACUGUACAGUUUAAUCAAGAUCACAUCAUUGCUACCAGCAAACUAAGUGGGACCUCAAUGAAUAAUUUUUGGAAGCUUGGUAAUCUGAAAAUCAUCAUCAACAUGGCUAGUGCAAAGAGGCUUCAGUGUGUCUGGACACCAGAUUGGACUCAGGAUGAGACCACCCAGAUGCUGACUGUCUGUGCUGCAGUGGAAGCAAGCAAGGCCAAAGAAUUUGGCUGUGAUCAACAUCUGAAACUGGAUUGCAAUAGAACACCAACAUCAAACUGGCAUUUACUGCACUCCGCAGGUUUGCCAAAGGUACAACGGCAUGCAUCGGAGAGACACUGAGGAUCUUCACCAGAGGGUCACCAAGGUUCGGAGACAGCCAGAGGAUGCAUGCAUCGAUGAAGAUAGGACCCAAAAUUGUGCCCUGUGGAUUGAGUGGAUGCACAACUUGUGGAUUAGCAGAAGGAGAGAUGUCUGUUGCUUAAUUUUUCUGUUUUGUUAAAUAAAAUACAGCUGAUCCUUGU